rnacentral:rRNA from 1 species
CAGCAGCAGCCGCGGUAAUACGAAGGGUGCAAGCGUUAAUCGGAAUUACUGGGCGUAAAGCGUGCGUAGGCGGUUUGUUAAGUCUGCUGUGAAAUCCCCGGGCUCAACCUGGGAAUGGCAGUGGAUACUGGCAAGCUAGAGUGUGUCAGAGGAUGGUGGAAUUCCCGGUGUAGCGGUGAAAUGCGUAGAGAUCGGGAGGAACAUCAGUGGCGAAGGCGGCCAUCUGGGACAACGCUGACGCUGAGGCACGAAAGCGUGGGGAGCAAACAGGAUUAGAUACCCCCGUAGUCCCUGUCUCUUAUAC